ACAAUAUAAUCAUGAUACAUAUUCAUUUAAAAAUGUAUUCACAUGAAAUAACACAUACAAUAAUUUCAAAAUGUAUCUGAUUAUAAAUGUAUAAAUCUCUUAAUUUGUAACUGCUCAAGUGUCUGCAUGUUAUAUACAAGUGAAUGGCACUCAUUAAUGUCCUUUAUUGUUUUAGACAUCACUAAUUAGGGAUCCUUAAACACAUUAUAUUCUGGAAUGGCUAAACUGUUAAUGAAAAUCUACUUCUUAGAUAAUAUGAGCUUUAAAAUUUGUUUCCAUCUUUAUGAUAUACAUCUUUGACAUGGGAUUAUUCACUUAAUAUUUGCCCUAAUUUUUGAAUUAAUUUGGCAGAAGUCCUCCAAUCCACCAUCAGCGAGACCGAACUCCUCCAGUCCAGCUACAGAUAAGCUGCUGACCCAUUUCAGAGGAGGAACAUUGGCCAUGACCCAAAAGGACCACUAAAUCCUCAACUUUUCUGCGGUGAGAAAAAUUCCCUAACAAAAAAAACGGUCAUAUCCAGAGAUGGCUUCAGCUUGCUCCGGAUUGGGAUGGAGGAAGAAGAGAACGGCUGAAGAGAAAGGAGAUGAUAAAUAGCUGUGCCUCUCAUUUAGAGCCAUAAUAGCUUAUGCGUGCGAACACAUACGAAAUACAUUCAUUUCCUUUUCAUGUGCACACACGCAGUUAUGUGUUAUGUUGUUUAUAAAGUUUAAUUUUGUCUUUCUUUGGUUUAUAACGUUUUCAUUUAGUCCGUAUUCGGUUUCAUUUUUUCAAGUGUUAAGGUACUGUUCAUUUAAAGUCUAAAGGUUUCCGUUUUACAUAAAAAUAUGUUCAACACAAUGUGUUCACUUUAUUUUUAUUUGUAAAUAAAAAAUGUUUAUUGAAAAACAAUUCAGGUAUUGGAAGUUAUUUUUUCACAUGAUUUUGGCAAUCAUAGGCUGUACUAUGGCUAAAUUUGGGGGUCUCUUUUUAAAAGCCGGCAUUGAUCUGGUUUACUUCUGGCUACGAUACGGCACCCAGUAUUAAACCUACUCUGGGCCAGUUCAGGGCCAGUUAUGGCUUAUUAAUUGGCGGAGGCUCGGACCAGUUGCGGCCCAUAUCUGGUCAUGGUCUGUAAUUUGGAUCUGGGCCACCCUAGGGCCGUCAUUCAAUGUUGUAUGUGGGCCGAGGGAAAAGUAUUGGUGUGGGCCGGAGCUGGGCCAACACAAAAUUGUUAUGUGGGACUGUGUGUACUGCAUGUGUGAAAACCCAUCUGAUUUUCAUGUUUUUCAUUCCAAUGUAAAUUUUAACAUUUUAAAAACUGCCAUUCUUGUCUCGCAGGUCAUCAUGCAGAAAAGGGUAUUUUUUUUUUCCUGGAAGGGUUAAGGUUGCGUUUCGUAAGGGACCGCUGGGAUAUCUUCUGCAGGAUCCAACUGACCAGGCCAGAACGAUAAAAAACAACCCAUCUUUGCAGGACAAGUUGGCACCAAUUAAGCACGAGCUUGUCAAACAAAAAUCCUCUGAAUGUGGUGCGUCAAAGAGGAGGUGAUGCCUCAGACCAAAAAUACGUUUUUUGUGAGUAUAUCCUGCAGUUGGGGAAAUACAAGGGGAAGUCCUUCCGGUUGCUCCUUGAAAAUGAUGUGGGGUACACCAUCUACCUGAUGAAGACCCUUCAGCAAGAAGAGGCUGCAGGAGUCACAAUGACAGAGGGCCACAGCUUUGGAUAAAUUCUGUCUCUUUUACACUACACGUCCAAAACUCCAGCUGCACCUGCGGGAUCACCAGACGACGAUCAGCUGGUUGGUUUCGGAGCUCGUGCCAAGACUACAUGGAAGGAGAUUUGGGACGGCAGAGCUGAUGGUUACGCUUCCUUUAUAGUGGGGGCUAAGUGUGUCCGAGGGACACGGAUGCAUUAACUGCAACAAUACUUGCUGAAGCAGCAGUCUGCCCGUCCGCAUGUGCCUGCCACAUCUGAGCCCACAGAGAUGGAUGGAGACGCUGAGCUGGAGACUGCAAUGCUGAACAUCACCCCCUCUUAGCUACUGGUGCAGUUGCCAGCAUCAUCUGCAUCCUCAGCUGCUGAAGUAAAACACUCCACAGAAACAACGACAGUGUGUUGGCCGUGUCCCUAACAAAUCUGUGUGCUGUUGGCAUUAUACUAAUUGUUCAAGGGGCUAUGAAUUGAUUCCCCCACCACGAUGAACUGAUAAACCCCCAUUCUGGAACCAUCUACUGUCCUUUCGAAACCACUGAUGGGCACUAGAAAGGAACUGCGUCUGUCUCCUGUGCAAGAAAAGGAGGUAUGCAGACAACCCAAAGUGGCUGGAAAAGUUCCCCAAAAGGUUUACAAAUGUACUGACAGCAACUCUUACUUACAAGAAGGCCAUCUGUAAAUCUGUGAUGGAUGAGCUGCGGCGCACCGGAAAAUCACCCUCGGACAUGCCCAACCAGGAUCCAUUACCACUUUGCCUGCCUCCUUGCUGUCCUCAUGCCAUGGUGGUGAUGUGGAUCUUCCGCCUAAGCCAGAAUAUGCUGAUACGCUACCUGUGUCAUCGUUUUACCGUGCCUGCAAAGAGCCUCAGUCAGAGCCAGGAACAACACAUGUACCGCCUCUGCCUAUGGUGGCCUCACCUGCGAGCGCUCGUACUGGACCUGUGAAGACUGGUGGAAGGGUGUUUGUGCUAGACCACAAACGGUGGACAACGCCAAUGAAGGAGGCAAUUGACAACCUGCUUACUGAACAUCAUGGGAAGAAGGAUAUGCUUAAACUUGUGGAUCAGGAGUAUGCAGCAAUUGUCCAUAACUCCAGUACUGAUCCCAAGCAUGCUCCAUCCUACUUCAAAACUGCACAUAGCUCAGUAUGUCAAGCACUUGGCCAAAUUGCUAAACACCAGUUCUUGGUUAAAUACUUCUCCUGAAAAACUACUUCAGACACAGCGACUGUGGCACUCUCUGACAGAGGGGAGCGAGACUACUAGUGUGCCAGUGGUUACAAUUAAUCCUGCAGUUGUAAACCCAACAGCACUUGCUCUGACCAAACCACUUUCACACGCAACCAUUGAGAGGAUCGUUGAGGGUAUUAUGGAGAAGCAUCAACAACAACAACCAGAAUAAAAAAAAAGAAACAGAUGAAGACUUGUGUUGCCUGCAGACAGCCCAAGUCUCGCUAUGAAAGUGAUGGCUCCUCCAUCCAUUUUUUUUUACCAGCAAGGACCUGUUAGGUACUUCUACUGUUCCACCAAGGUUUUUAAGGCUUAUAGUGGUGAAGGGCUGACAAAUCCCAUAAUGCCUUUUAAAGAUUUUACGGAAACAGAGAGGGAACUGAAUGACACAAAAAAAGGGUGGAAGAGAAGGGACAGCAAAAACGAAAAAUGCCUGAAUCUCCACAUGUAGGUCGCCUGUGUAGGUUUUCUAACAUGGAACUCAAACAAGGUCCACACAUACAUACGGGCUUUCCUGGAAUUGCCUGGAAAUAUGUUUACUGUCCUGCUAAAGUAUUUUCCAUAUACAGAAAGCAGGGUAUGGAGAAAGAGAUGACCUGGAAAGACUUUCAAAAGUCUACAUUUUACAAUAUGGAAAGACAGCGAUGGGUUUCUGGAAAGAGUAAAUGACAAUUUUCCACGUGUAAAUAUCUUUUGCUUGUUUGCUUUGCCUUUUAAAACGUUGAGAAUUUUUUAUUUUUUUAAAAGCACUUAUCUUGUACUCUGGUUUUUAUAUUUAUAUAUAUAUAAAUAAAUGGCAAAUAUUUUCAACAUGAUGUAAAAUAUAUUUGAUUUACAAAUGUAAUAUCACUACAAAGGUAAGAGACAUGUAUUGUAAUUGGAGUUUAAAUACAAAUACUCUUCAUGAAUGUAUUCACAUUUAGUGCUGUUAAAAUUAUUAUUUUAUGUUAAUUUCUCCCACCACAUAUGGAUGUUUAAAAUGUUUAAAGUUUUUUUCUGAUGGCUUAAGCACAUUUUUUGUAACUAUUGCCUAUUUUUGCAAAACUGCACACAAAAAUAAGA